rnacentral:lncRNA from 1 species
GGCUGCAUGUCCAGUAGUCGACUGCAUGGAGAAUGGACUUCUUUUUCUUCUUCUUGCAGACUUUCUGUAGAAUUCUCACGUGUGCAGUGGAGAAUUCUUUCUUUGCUUUCUUCAUGCUUGCGGCUUCUUGUUUUCAUAUUAGGUGUUGACUCCAACAGACGCCUCGACAUAUCUACGGGCCAUUGGGGCCAAUGAAGGCCAACCCAAGACAAUGCAAAAGUAGAUUUAGAAAAAAAAAAAAAAAAAGACUGCUAAACAACCCUUAUUCAGCAUGCCAAUAAAUCUGGACAGUAAGGGUGUGCAUGAUAAAAUUUCUACUUCUCUAUUUCUCUAUUCCGGAAAACAGGUUUGGAACAGAAAUUCAUUUGGUAAUGCAAUUCAAUUUUCUAUUUCUGGAAUACUUCUAUUCCAGAAAUAGAUUUGAAGAAAUCAUAAGCUAAAAUUUUUAACUUCUCAAUUUCUGAAAUAGAAAUUGAGAAAUCAAUUUCUGGCUAGAAAUUAAUUUUUGUUCCAAAAAUUUUGUCAUUCGCACCCUAAGUAUCGACGCACUCUUUGAGUUUGGGAACAUAUUAUAAUAAAAACACUUCCCCGAGGUAUGAUUUAGGGUUAUUAUUCAUUAAAGAGGAGGCCUUUUUUUUUUUUUUUCUAAAGGCUUGUACCAUGCUUGGGGGUUCAAAGGAAGUCUAUUGCCCCAUGGAUUUAGAGGUGUAUGGCUGGCCAAGGAGAUCCCAUCUUGGACUAAUUUGGUUCAAAUUUAAGGUGCCAUUGUUUCCCUAUCUGGUAUACCUAAAAAUAGCCUCAUUUGCUCGUUCAAUCUUUUCCUAUUGAAUCACCACCACAUGAGGGAGGGUUAACGAUGUGAAACAAAACGGGUGAUUAGAGGGUGGUCAUUAUUUGAACGAAUUUUGAAAUUAAAUGACGAUGGGCAUAGAAAGAUGAGAUACAUGAAUGCGAGUCCAUGCAAGGUGCAAUAUGCGAGUUCAUGCAAUAUCGAUGCUUUUGGUUAGGGAUCAAAUUCUGAAAGUAUAUGAUCCCUAAUUUUCUUAUGAAAUGCACAAAUAAUUUGUGAGCAAAAAUUUAGUUGUCAAUAUUAUAUUUAAAUUGAAAGAAGAACCGAAAAAGAUGAGUAGCAUGAAACGAAAAAUCAAUGGAAAAAUCAACGAUGUCACUGAAGUCCAAAUGCAAAGCAUCCUUUUCCUUCAGAUAGCCUAUGACCGCUUUGAUUUUGGCAGGGGAAUUCAUAAACUUGAUCUAGAAAUGAGGAGACACGUGUUAACUGAGAAUGAGAAUCUAUUGGUACCUCAGUAGCCUCUCAAAUUAUGCUGAAUCUAGAUGGGAAUUCAUUUCUGCUGUGACCAAUCAUAAAAGUGAUGCAGUUUUCUAAUUGACCAAUUUGCCAAAAAGUUGCAUAUACUGGAGCCCUUAAAAAUUUUGCCAUCUGGAAUU